UGGAAUAAGUGCGAUGUGGUGCUGAGAAGAAUGUAUAUUCAAUCAGUAGCAUUUUUAUAUGCCAGCAGUGAACAAUCUGAAAAAGAAAUCAAGAAAGUAAUCCCAUUUACAAUAGCUACAAAUACAAUCAAACAACUAGGAAUUAACUAAAGAAACAAAAGAUCUCCACAAUGAAAACUAUAAAACACUGACAAAAGAAAUUGAAGAGGCUUUCUCUAGAGGUGACUUGCUGGGAGAGUGUCCCUGGCUUUGAGUCCCUGUUGCCACCCUGCAGUCGGUGGCCUCCUCCCGGAGCAGAGCAAGGUCAGGCGGCCCCUGCUGGAGUCCUGUGUCGCCAUGGCCACUGUUCCUGAGUUGCUGCAGCAGCAGGAGGAGGACCGUAGCAAGCCAAGAUCUGUAUCUGUGGACGUGAAUGUUGAUCCCUCGCUUCAGAUUGACAUACCUGAUGCGCUCAGUGAAAGAGAUAAGGUCAAAUUUACGGUGCACACAAAAACCACACUGCCCACAUUUCAGAGUCCAGAGUUUUCUGUUACAAGGCAACAAGAAGACUGUGUGUGACUACAUAACACUCUUUUUGAAAGAACGGUCUACGCUGGGCUUAUUAUUCCGCCUGCUCCUAUGAAGCCUGACUUCGAUGGUCCUUGAGAUAAAAUGCAGAAACUGGGAGAAGGUGAAGGGUCUAUGACCAAAGAAGAAUUUACGAAGAUGAAAUAAAAACUACAAGCUGAGUAUCUCGCUGUUUUUAAGAAGACUGUGUCCUCCCAUGAAGCCUUUCUUUAGUGGCUUUCUUCUCACCCUGUUCUCAGUAAAGAUCGCAACUUUCAUGUUUUCCUGGAAUAUUAUCAGGAUCUAAGUGUUAGGUGGAAAAAUACUAAAGAGAUGUUUGGUGGCUUCUUCAAAAGCGUGGUGAAAGUGCUGAUGCAGUCCUUUUUACUGGAGUUAAGGAGGUAGAUGACUUCUUUGAGCAAGAGAAUAACUUCCUUAUUAACUGUUACAAUAGGAUCAAAGAUUCUUGUGUGAAAUCUCACAAAAUGACCAGAUCUCAUAAAAAUGUUGCCGACGACUAUAUUCACACUGCAGCCUGCUUACAUAGCCUGGCUUUAGAAGAGCCCACAGUCAUCAAAAAGUAUCUGUUGAAGGUUGCUGAGCUAUUUGAAAAACUUAGGAAAGUAGAGGGUCGAAUCUCAUCAGAUGAAGAUUUAAAGCUAACACAGCCCCCCCGAUUCUACAUGCUCAACAUCGAGGCAGUAAGGAUCUCUUAUAUAGAUGCACCAAAACCCUCAUUGACUAUGAGAACUCAAACAAAGCUCUGGAUAAGGCCCAGUUUAAAGAGCAAAGACAUCAAGUUGGCUGAGGCACACCAGCAGGAGUGCUGCCAGAAAUUUGAAUAGCUUUCCAAAUCUGCAAAAGAAGAACUGAUAAAUUUCAAACGGAAGAAAGUGGCAGCAUUUAGAAAGAAUCUAAUUGAAAUGUCUGAAAUGGAAAUAAAACAUGCAAGGAACAGUGUCUCCCUUUUGCAGAGCUGUAUUGACUUGUUCAAGAAUAACUGAUAUGCCUUCACUCUGAAGAAAAGAAAUGAAUGUGAAAGAGAGCCAAGCAUCACUUGCACUUAAAUCAUUACCACGGAAGAUUUAUUAUCUUCAACUUUAGUUUAAAAUUAUGUGAAUAAACAUUUUGAUUUCUGCAAAUC